rnacentral:rRNA from 1 species
GUGAGGAAUAUUGGUCAAUGGGCGAGAGCCUGAACCAGCCAAGUCGCGUGAAGGAUGAAGGUUUUAUGAAUUGUAAACUUCUUUUGCAGGGGAAUAAAGUACGGUACGUGUACCGUUUUGUAUGUACUCUGCGAAUAAGGAUCGGCUAACUCCGUGCCAGCAGCCGCGGUAAUACGGAGGAUCCAAGCGUUAUCCGGAUUUAUUGGGUUUAAUGGGUGCGCAGGCGGGUUGAUAAGUCAGCGGUGAAAGUUUGCAGCUUAACUGUAAAAUUGCCGUUGAAACUGUCGAUCUUGAGUGCAAAUGAGGUAAGCGGAAUGUGUUGUGUAGCGGUGAAAUGCUUAGAUAUAACACAGAACACCGAUUGCGAAGGCAGCUUACUGGGAUGCAACUGACGCUCAUGCACGAAAGCGUGGGGAUCAAACAGGAUUAGAAACCCCUGUAGUCC